rnacentral:lncRNA from 1 species
CUCAACUCUCUCUCUCUCUCUCUCUCUCUCUCUCUCUAUAUAUAUAUAGAAUUAGGCUACUAUACUAUCUAUAGUACCGGAUACUAUCUAUAGUAUUGGAGCUCCGGUACUAUAGUCUUGCUUUCGAUCUUAGGGUGUUCAAAUUAAUGAUCCACACCGUUAAAUAUGAUCUAGGGUAUAUGAAAUUCUUAGGAAUAACAUUUUAGUUUUUUUCGACAUCGUUUACUUAGUAAAUAAAUUAUGUCAAAAUGGACGGUGGAAAUUGAAUAAUCUUUAAAAUUUGAGCAUAGGAUUUUUAAAUUUAAGAUCAAGAAUGUUAACCUUAAUCUAGAUAGUUUAAACUAUUUUCUAUCAAAAUUUGAAGAAAUUUAGAUUCUUCCACACCGUUAAACCCCAAACUCGCCAUAGUAGCAAUUGAAAAUUGACAAUUUUGAAAUAGUUUGAUCAUAAAAUAAACUAUGUUGAAAAAUAUAAAAUUUUAUUUCUAAAAACUUUAAAUACC